UACGUAGGGUGCGAGCGUUGUCCGGAAUUAUUGGGCGUAAAGAGCUUGUAGGCGGUUUGUCGCGUCUGCCGUGAAAUUUCGAGGCUCAACCUCGAACUUGCGGUGGGUACGGGCAGACUAGAGUGGUGGUAGGGGAGACUGGAAUUCCUGGUGUAGCGGUGAAAUGCGCAGAUAUCAGGAGGAACACCGAUGGCGAAGGCAGGUCUCUGGGCAACAACUGACGCUGAGGAGCGAAAGCGUGGGGAGCGAACAGG
rnacentral:rRNA from 1 species